GACGAACGCUGGCGGCGUGCUUAACACAUGCAAGUCGAACGGAAAGGCCCUGCUUUUGUGGGGUGCUCGAGUGGCGAACGGGUGAGUAACACGUGAGUAACCUGCCCCUGACUUUGGGAUAACUUCAGGAAACUGGGGCUAAUACCGGAUAGGAGCUCCUGCUGCAUGGUGGGGGUUGGAAAGUUUCGGCGGUUGGGGAUGGACUCGCGGCUUAUCAGCUUGUUGGUGGGGUAGUGGCUUACCAAGGCUUUGACGGGUAGCCGGCCUGAGAGGGUGACCGGCCACAUUGGGACUGAGAUACGGCCCAGACUCCUACGGGAGGCAGCAGUGGGGAAUAUUGCACAAUGGGCGGAAGCCUGAUGCAGCAACGCCGCGUGCGGGAUGACGGCCUUCGGGUUGUAAACCGCUUUCGCCUGUGACGAAGCGUGAGUGACGGUAAUGGGUAAAGAAGCACCGGCUAACUACGUGCCAGCAGCCGCGGUGAUACGUAGGGUGCGAGCGUUGUCCGGAUUUAUUGGGCGUAAAGGGCUCGUAGGUGGUUGAUCGCGUCGGAAGUGUAAUCUUGGGGCUUAACCCUGAGCGUGCUUUCGAUACGGGUUGACUUGAGGAAGGUAGGGGAGAAUGGAAUUCCUGGUGGAGCGGUGGAAUGCGCAGAUAUCAGGAGGAACACCAGUGGCGAAGGCGGUUCUCUGGGCCUUUCCUGACGCUGAGGAGCGAAAGCGUGGGGAGCGAACAGGCUUAGAUACCCUGGUAGUCCACGCUGUAAACGGUGGGUACUAGGUGUGGGGUCCAUUCCACGGGUUCCGUGCCGUAGCUAACGCUUUAAGUACCCCGCCUGGGGAGUACGGCCGCAAGGCUAAAACUCAAAGGAAUUGACGGGGCCCCGCACAAGCGGCGGAGCAUGCGGAUUAAUUCGAUGCAACGCGUAGAACCUUACCUGGGUUUGACAUGGAUCGGGAGUGCUCAGAGAUGGGUGUGCCUCUUUUGGGGUCGGUUCACAGGUGGUGCAUGGCUGUCGUCAGCUCGUGUCGUGAGAUGUUGGGUUAAGUCCCGCAACGAGCGCAACCCUUGUUCACUGUUGCCAGCACGUUAUGGUGGGGACUCAGUGGAGACCGCCGGGGUCAACUCGGAGGAAGGUGGGGAUGACGUCAAGUCAUCAUGCCCCUUAUGUCCAGGGCUUCACGCAUGCUACAAUGGCUGGUACAGAGAGUGGCGAGCCUGUGAGGGUGAGCGAAUCUCGGAAAGUCGGUCUCAGUUCGGAUUGGGGUCUGCAACUCGACCUCAUGAAGUCGGAGUCGCUAGUAAUCGCAGAUCAGCAACGCUGCGGUGAAUACGUUCCCGGGGCU
rnacentral:rRNA from 1 species